rnacentral:rRNA from 1 species
ACGAACGCUGGCGGCAUGCCUAACACAUGCAAGUCGAACGAACCCUUCGGGGUUAGUGGCGCACGGGUGCGUAACGCGUGGGGAUCUGCCCUUUGCUUCGGAAUAACAGUUAGAAAUGACUGCUAAUACCGGAUGAUGUCGUAAGACCAAAGAUUUAUCGGCAAAGGAUGAACCCGCGUAGGAUUAGCUAGUUGGUGGGGUAAAGGCCUACCAAGGCGACGAUCCUUAGCUGGUCUGAGAGGAUGAUCAGCCACACUGGGACUGAGACACGGCCCAGACUCCUACGGGAGGCAGCAGUGGGGAAUAUUGGACAAUGGGCGAAAGCCUGAUCCAGCAAUGCCGCGUGAGUGAUGAAGGCCUUAGGGUUGUAAAGCUCUUUUACCAGGGAUGAUAAUGACAGUACCUGGAGAAUAGGCUCCGGCUAACUCCGU